GUAUCACAUGCCAAGUUUGGCCUC
rnacentral:siRNA from 1 species